rnacentral:rRNA from 1 species
CCUAUGGGGGGCUGCAGUGGGGAAUAUUGCACAAUGGGCGCAAGCCUGAUGCAGCCAUGCCGCGUGUGUGAAGAAGGCCUUCGGGUUGUAAAGCACUUUCAGCGGGGAGGAAGGCGUUAAGGUUAAUAACCUUGUCGGUUGACGUUACCCGCAGAAGAAGCACCGGCUAACUCCGUGCCAGCAGCCGCGGUAAUACGGAGGGUGCAAGCGUUAAUCGGAAUUACUGGGCGUAAAGCGCACGCAGGCGGUCUGUCAAGUCGGAUGUGAAAUCCCCGGGCUCAACCUGGGAACUGCAUUCGAAACUGGCAGGCUAGAGUCUUGUAGAGGGGGGUAGAAUUCCAGGUGUGGCGGUGAAAUGCGUAGAGAUCUGGAGGAAUACCGGUGGCGAAGGCGGCCCCCUGGACAAAGACUGACGCUCAGGUGCGAAAGCGUGGGGAGCAAACAGGAUUAGAUACCCGGGUAGUC